rnacentral:lncRNA from 1 species
UUUCUUUUCUGCCUGAAGGAGAGAGCGACUAACGAGCUGAUAUUUAUUGUCUUUGGCCCAUUCAAAGCCCACCUUUGGGAAUAUUCGAACUCUUUCUCCUCCAACCAGGUGGAGAGCACAGACAGCAAAGGCAUGCCCUGAGCUUCCCUUUCCUCUUUGGUUUAGCUCCCACGGCCAAAAGAAGCCAUGGGAUCCAAGGAGCCAAGUUUCCUGGGCUUGAAUCUAUUUUCAAAUUCCAUAGAUAACGUUGAGCUCUCACAACAGAGAGCAGUUCAGUUGUUCUUUUGUACCCUGGGUAACUGCAUAGUCACUCAGGCACCAGGAUUUCAUCAUUCCCUGCCUUCCUUUUUUCCAAAAUAAUACUGUAGCCACAUUUCAGCAAGGCAGAGUUGUGCUGGUGAGUCCCAUGGCCAGCACUGCUGUGGGGAUGCUCAAGGCCACAAGCAUUUGGAGAUGCUUUAGAAGCGCUCAUGAAACUCAGCACACAGUUGGAUUUAUGACUAAGGUCUAUUGCAGUGAAAGGGUAUAUGACAGGAUCAUCAAGGGAAAAAGACACAAGUGGAUUCUGGAGAAAUCUAUGCACGGGCUUCCUUCUACUCUCUCCUUCCCAUGAGGAGACAUACCAAAUGUGUUUUUUUCAGCAGCAAAAAAUGUAUAAGGAUGUGUAUAACCUUUCUGCUCAGGAGAGCCUAUUAGAGAACCAGAGUUCAAGACUCUUUUGGGGGCUGAUUACAUAGGCAGCUUCUGCUUAGUGGGGACCAAAGUUCCAGACUCCUAGAAGGAAAGCAGAUGUUAACCAUAAAUCACGCUGUUUGGACAGUCUAGGUAGAGUAAGCCUCCCUUAUCAGUUAGGGAAUGGUUUGAAUGCCAAAUUUGCACGGGCCAGCCUUGCGAGUAGGCCCUUCUAAAGCUGACGGCUUCACACCUGCUAUGUUAACUCUCGUCUUCACACAGUCACUGAAUCAGGACGUGGGUGGGCCCAGAUCACGACUGAGAGGCUGUAUUUGCCUCAACUUCCCCUACCCUUCUUGGUUAUACAGCUGUGCUCUACGGAGCAUAGCUCAGGACAGCACAAUAGGCUCAGCUAAACAUUUUCAGCCUCUUUUCAUGACAAGGCAGUCCCACUACAGCUGUUGAUUUCAAGCAGAGAGACCAGCUUAGGUCCCUGGUGGUGUGCAGAGUGGAGAGGGUUUUAUUCCAACUCUUAUCAGCCUCCAACAGACUUCAGACCUAGAGCCCAGAGGGUCUGCAGCGUCAGCCUCACUUACAGCUUUCUGUUCUAGUUUACUUUUUCCUCCUCAAAGAUAUGGCUAUGUAUUUUAGACGUUCUUUUAAAAAAAAAUGUCAUCUUUCAUUGCUUUGUUUGGAGCUAAGCAUGGUGGGAAGGGAGAAGCUUAGACUGUGAACUUAUAAUGUCAUCUUAGCCAGAAGGUGCUCUCUUACAUUUUUAUACAUCAUUGCAGCUUUUUCUACUAAGAUUCGGGCCUGAGCCCAUGGGGGCUGAGCUGGCCUGGAGGGCAAUGUUAGUGACAGAUAUUGUGCUUUGCUCAAAGUUGCCUUUCACCUAUGUUUCUGGCCUGUUGUCCUGUGUCAGUUGACCCUCUCUUCCGGUAGGAUGAAUCAUUCCCCAUGAGGCUUGUUAGUGGGCCCGUCCGCUGUAGCCGUUUCUGAGGGGGAACCUAGCUUAGGUGCUCAAGCCGAGAUUUCCCCACUACUCAUGGAUUUUGGUCGAACAUAUGACUCAAAAUGAAACAGCAAAAUCAGAGUUUGGGCAGUCUACCAUUUCCCAAAGUCAUUCUAUCCACUGUAGGGAAUGACAAAUAGCUAACCUACAAGUAAGUCAACUACUAAUUCAUUUUUCCUAUACUAACCUAAAUGGUCCUCGUUUAAAUUAUUAACAACAUAUAUUUUGAUUACUCAGCAUCUGUUUUUCCAAUUUCUUUUUGAGAAGUUCUCUCUUUUCUAUCACGUGAGCUGCACUGGCAACACAACAAACCUAGGAGUGUGCACUUUUAGUACAGAAGUUAAAGGAGGUUUUAUUGACUCUUCCUUUUUUUUUUUUUUUUUGCUAGAUCCUGCCUGUUACCAGUCAGGCCCACCAAAGGGUUGGUAAAGGGAUGUCAGCUCAGUCAAUGAGUUGUUCUUUCCUAGGAUGCUUGACUCUUGGGUGGGUGGAGGCGAGGACUGAAGAAAAUGAUUGCUUAUUCCCACAGCAGUGCUGAGUCAACAGCUAAGCAGUUCUCGCCACGGUGAGCUUCUAUACUUGUCUACAUUAGUCUUAAGGUCUGGCGUUGACAACUGAGCAGGCCAUUUCAGAUUCACAAGUGAGAAUUAAAGUGACGCUGAUUUAAAUGUGGAGCUUGAAGACACAGAGCAUAUUCCAUAUUCCAUAUUCUGUCCAGAGAAGACCAAGGUGCAAUCAGAAAAG